rnacentral:rRNA from 1 species
GAUGAACGCUGGCGGCGUGCCUAAUACAUGCAAGUCGAACGAACAGAUGAUGAGCUUGCUCCGCUGACGUUAGCGGCGGACGUGUGUGUCACACGUGUAUAACCUCCCUAUAAUUCUGGUAUAACUUCGGGAAACCGGCUCUAAUACCGGAUAAUAUAUUGAACCGCAGUGGUCAAUAGUGAAUUACGGUGUUUGUGUCUCUUCUAGAUGGUUCUGCGCCGCAUUAGCUAGUUGGUACGGUAACGGCUUACCACGGCAACGAUGCGUAGCCGACCUGAGUGGGUGGUAGGCCACCCUGGAACUGAGCCACGGUCCAGACUCCUACGGGAGGCAGCAGUAGGGAACCUGCCGCAAUGGGCGAAAGCAUGACGGAGCAACGCCACGUGAGUGAUGAAGGUGUUCGGAUCGUGAUAAUCUGUUACUAGGGAAGAACAAAUGUGUAAGUAACUAUGCACGUCUUGACGGUACCUAAUAAGAAAGCAACGGCUAACUACGUG